CAGGCUUAACACAUGCAAGUCGAGGGGCAGCAUGGUCUUAGCUUGCUAAGGCCGAUGGCGACCGGCGCACGGGUGAGUAACGCGUAUCCAACCUGCCUUACACUCUUGGACAGCCUUCUGAAAGGGAGAUUAAUACAAGAUGUUAUCAUGAGUAAGCAUUUUCGCAUGAUUAAAGGUUUACCGGUGUAAGAUGGGGAUGCGUUCCAUUAGAUAGUAGGCGGGGUAACGGCCCACCUAGUCUUCGAUGGAUAGGGGUUCUGAGAGGAAGGUCCCCCACAUUGGAACUGAGACACGGUCCAAACUCCUACGGGAGGCAGCAGUGAGGAAUAUUGGUCAAUGGACGAGAGUCUGAACCAGCCAAGUAGCGUGAAGGAUGAAGGUUCUAUGGAUUGUAAACUUCUUUUAUACGGGAAUAAACGAAUCCACGUGUGGAUUUUUGCAUGUACCGUAUGAAUAAGGAUCGGCUAACUCCGUGCCAGCAGCCGCGGUAAUACGGAGGAUCCGAGCGUUAUCCGGAUUUAUUGGGUUUAAAGGGAGCGUAGAUGGGUUGUUAAGUCAGUUGUGAAAGUUUGCGGCUCAACCGUAAAAUUGCAAUUGAUACUGGCAGUCUUGAGUACAGUUGAGGUAGGCGGAAUUCGUGGUGUAGCGGUGAAAUGCUUAGAUAUCACGAAGAACUCCGAUUGCGAAGGCAGCUUACUAACCUGUAACUGACAUUGAUGCUCGAAAGUGUGGGUAUCAAACAGGAUUAGAUACCCUGGUAGUCCACACGGUAAACGAUGAAUACUCGCUGUAGGCGAUAUACAGUCUGCGGCCAAGCGAAAGCAUUAAGUAUUCCACCUGGGGAGUACGCCGGCAACGGCGAAACUCAAAGGAAUUGACGGGGGCCCGCACAAGCGGAGGAACAUGUGGUUUAAUUCGAUGAUACGCGAGGAACCUUACCCGGGCUUAAAUUGCAACCGAAUAUGGCGGAAACGCUAUAGCUAGCAAUAGCGGUUGUGAAGGUGCUGCAUGGUUGUCGUCAGCUCGUGCCGUGAGGUGUCGGCUUAAGUGCCAUAACGAGCGCAACCCUUGCCGAUAGUUACUAACAGGUCAUGCUGAGGACUCUGUCGGGACUGCCAUCGUAAGAUGUGAGGAAGGUGGGGAUGACGUCAAAUCAGCACGGCCCUUACGUCCGGGGCUACACACGUGUUACAAUGGGGGGUACAGAGGGCUGCUACCACGCAAGUGGAUGCCAAUCCCAAAAACCUCUCUCAGUUCGGAUUGAAGUCUGCAACCCGACUUCAUGAAGCUGGAUUCGCUAGUAAUCGCGCAUCAGCCACGGCGCGGUGAAUACGUUCCCGGGCCUUGUACACACCGCCCGUCAAGCCAUGGGAGCCGGGGGUACCUGAAGUGCGUAACCGCAAGGAGCGCCCUAGGGUAAAACUGGUGACUGGGGCUAAGUCG
rnacentral:rRNA from 1 species